UUUAAAGAAAUUAGGGGAACUGAAAAAACUGCAGCUAUAUAUAUUGAGAAUCUACAAGUCUCAGUUCCAUUUACUAAAAGAGCAGAGCAACAAAGCAAGAAAGAAAAACAAAGCCAUACAACAAAAAUUUCUUUGAGCAAAAAGCAGACCCUGAAAAGAUGUCUUCAUCGCACAACAACUCAACUUCAUCAUCCUCCACUCCGUCUUCCCUCCCUGCCGGCGCCGCCACUGGAGCAAACAACCGUAGCCGUAAAGAGCCUGCGGUGACGUCGACCCAACAACCCAACUCCGUUGCUGCUCCGUUGGACCACCGUUGCCGCCACCCAAAUGCUGAAGUGGUAGCGUUACGUCCAAGGACGUUCUUAGCUACGGGAAAAUGUGAAUUGUGCGGCAAAGAAUUUACACAAGAACAGAUUCGAGAGUUUUAACAGGUGAGAACCCCACAAUCCAUAAAGGAGACAAAAGUGAGGAGAAGUGGAAAUGCGAGUAAUGCUAUAAGCGUAAAUCUGUCUGCAAAAUAAAGAUAUAUCUCUAAGACUUGUUAUACCAUCUUUUCUAUUUAAACUAUGUAUCGUCUUUCUUGGUUU